rnacentral:lncRNA from 1 species
UCAAGCUUGAUGGGAUGAAACAGUUAAGGAAUGGACAUUCUCAGAAGAAGCUGCGUUGGUGGCAAAACCUUCGACCGCACCGGAGAGUGAGGCUGAAAAAGAAAGGCCGAGUUAAAAUGGGGUUUAUGAGCCAAAAAUCACUAAAGAACUAUUGAGUUUGGGUGCACGUUGGAAUUUCUCACCUUGCAUCUACCUUCUUCUGGCUCAUGGUAUUCAAGCUCCUAUCAGAUAUGCAGAAGAGGUAUAUCCUCUGAUUUUUCUUCAAUUUUGGCUCUGUCGAAUGGACGCUUGUGAUGCUUGAAAUUCAAUAGAUAUGGACCUGGUGAUGCAGGAUUUUGUUAGUGACUGCAUGGUGAUUCUGCAUUUUGUAAGUGCUUUGUGAUCCUGGAUUUUACUAAUAUGUGCAAUGCACCAUAAUACUGGAUAUACUUGUAUUUUUUAGAACUCAGCACUAUAGCAGAGUCCUUGCCUUCUUUGUUUAUUUGAAAUUUUCGUUUCUCAACUAAAGGUUUUGGGGUACUAUUAGAACCUGGCAUUAGAUAUUAACUUAGCUUUCCACAGAGACAGAUCAAAUAUUUGAAGUUGCUUUCAUGUUUCUCUUAACCAGCGUUGAGUGUUGCAUAUUUUACUUAAUAUCCUAAAAUCUCGUUUUAGGUAGCAUAUCAACUUCACCUUUGGUCUAGACCACUCCUUCGGAGUUCAUUUAAAGUUGGUAACAGGAUCUCUCUUGAUAAUUUAUACUCUAGACACCCUUUUUCUCUAACCGGUACAAUUAUGUUCUAAUUUCCCAAGUUGAUACCAAAUUGUGGUUUGAAAGAACAUAAACAAUAGUUUAAUAGUCUAAUGGCACUGCUUAGUACCCUAGUUUCAUACGGUGUCAACUCUGACCACUUAGUCUACGGAAGAAAGAUGCAUCUUUUUUUUGUGUCUCUAUUUAUUUACUGGUCUUUUUCUUGAGUUGUUGCGUAUUAGGUCUCUAGGCUGUUCUAAGAUUGCUAGCAGAACCAUAAAGGGUGUUAAGCAAAUGAGAAUACAGAUAGUAACUUUUCCAUGAUUCAUAAUUGUUGGAAGAAACAGAUAACAGGGUAAGCUUUUUAAUAUCAUAUUAUUUUAUGCUUCAAAAGGCUAAUAAUCUGAACCUGUUCUUAUAUUAAUAUAGCAUGUCUUCUUUUGGACAAAUAACAAACAGACUAAAAGAGAUAUACACUUUAGAGAAAAAUGCAUAGGAUUAUUAACUCCCAAUCAUUGUGUGACACUAACAUAACAUGUAAUUCUAUUUGAAGCAGCAAAAAAUAAAUACAAAAGACUGGAAACAAGUGAUUAUUAACUUUGCAUACAUGUUUAUAAAAGUGCAGCUGGUGGAGAAAGGAAUAAAAGUACACAUGCUUAAUUUUGAGGAUCAUGUGUAUAAGCUGUUGCUUGAAGGCUGGGUUUCA